rnacentral:sRNA from 1 species
GCGGGGGGUCUCUCAAGCUGGUUCCAACGCUGAGGCCCCACAGCCUCCCAAUUCCGGGCAGACCCCUGACACCUGCUGUCUGGCCCCUUCCGGCCUGAAGCUGCAGCCGCGCCAUGUCCACCCCUCCGUUGGCCGCGUCGGGGAUGGCGCCCGGGCCCUUCGCCGGGCCCCAGGCUCAGCAGGCCGCCCGGGAAGUCAACACGGCGUCGCUGUGCCGCAUCGGGCAGGAGACAGUGCAGGACAUCGUGUACCGCACCAUGGAGAUCUUCCAGCUCCUGAGGAACAUGCAGCUGCCAAAUGGUGUCACUUACCACACUGGAACAUAUCAAGACCGGUUAACAAAGCUACAGGAUAAUCUUCGCCAACUUUCAGUUCUCUUCAGGAAGCUGAGAUUGGUAUAUGACAAAUGCAAUGAAAACUGUGGUGGGAUGGAUCCCAUUCCAGUCGAGGUAAUUUUUUGUGAUAGAGGGAGGAUGAAUAUAAAGUGUGAACUAGUGUCAAGACAGUUGUUAAUCUUUUUCCUCUCUCUCCUGUUUUAGCGAUAU